CACGCAGGCGGUCGUACGCGUUUCGGGUGACAGCGGGUGGCUUAACUGCCCGAGUGUUCGAAAGACGGUACGACUUGAGGACUCGAGAGGGACACGGAAUUCCGGGUGGAGUGGUGAAAUGCGUAGAGAUCCGGAGGAACACCGAAGGCGAAGGCAGUGUCCUGGCGAGUGACUGACGCUGAGGUGCGAAAGCCAGGGGAGCGAACGGGAUUAGAUACCCCGGUAGUCCUGGCCGUAAACGAUGACCACCAGGUGUGGGAGGUAUCGACCCCUUCCGUGCCGGAGUUAACACACUAAGUGGUCCGCCUGGGGAGUACGGUCGCAAGAUUAAA
rnacentral:rRNA from 1 species